rnacentral:ribozyme from 13 species
UUUCUUUUUCUUUUUCUUUUUCUUUUUCUUUUGUCUCAUUUUCUGUUUCUUUUUUUGUUUCUCCUUCACAAACAAACGCGAUCAAAUGAGAAUUAUGCCGUAGUGAGAGAGUAGUAAGCG